ACAGGCUACAAAGAGAAACCCUGUCGGCCUGGAGGGAUGGCUCAGCUGUUAAAGGCUAGGCUCACAACCAAAAAUAUA
rnacentral:miRNA from 1 species